UAUACGGCGCGUAUGAUAAAGAAGAUCGAGUGCUGGCAUCCGCGCUGUACUCGUGUUACCUGAUGUCAAAGGAGCUGGGUGAACAAGUUGAAACUUGUAGCUUAAAUAAGUAUGAACAGUUACUCGUGGAGAAAGACGUAGACACCGUUGACGGUUAAAAAUCAUCAUCAUAAUUUCGAAGGUGUAGCACUAAAAGCGAUGCCUGCUAAGUACUUUGAACAUGUCGAAUAAUUUAACAAACGUUAACGAAGAUGAUUUAUUCUACCCUUAC